CUGGCAUGUUUGUGGAGUAAAGGAAUAAAUACAAACUCAUAUUGCUGCUUCCUCCUUGAAGCAGUGUCUGCCUUUCUCUACCUCUAUCUUCUCUACAACUCAAAACACUUGUCACCCCCGAAUAUUUCAGCAGACCUCUUCACACAGUCCUAUGUACCUUUUUCAGCUGCAGAUUCUGUUUUCAUGAUGGAGCUGGACAGAGUUUUUCCUGGUUGGAUCUUACUUUUUCUAAGGCAACUGGGGACAUUUCCGAUGCUACAAGAGCCUCAUGUUUUCUGCGCUGAGACACCACAGCUGCAGAGAGAGCUGACACAUGAACUACUUCUACAGGAUCGGGGUGCCCGCUUUGCUUGUGAGAUUUAGGAGGAAAUGCCACAGAUUGUUAUCGGAAAAGUGAGUUAUUUGAUGUAUUAUUUAACAUUGAAAAGUUCUUUUAAUGAGAAAAAAUUGGUAGUUGGGUCUGUUUAUUUUUGUGGUAAUGUUUUGAAUUAAAAUUCUCUAAUAAGCUUAUCAUCAAGAUUUUGUAAGAUGGUUGUUCAAUGUUAGUUUAUUAUUACAGGAUAUGGAUUUAGUAAUGACUUUAAAAUAGACUCCAUUUGUAAUCUGCUGCAAAUAGAAUUUUAAUAAUCAAGAAAUUGUUGCAUUUAUGCCAUGUUAGUCAUUAAAUUGAGCCAGGAAAUAACAGAGUUGAUGCAGAUGAAAAUAUUAAAUCUGUAGCAGAAGACUGGAUAAAACUAUUUGAUCAUUUCAGGUUUAUCUCUGAGUUAACUCAUUGUGAAAAGAUUAUAAAUGAUUUAAUUGUUCUCCAUCUGUUAGAAAUUCAAUUAAAUGCUGUUUAGUUUAUGUAACCACAAACCUCCUAUUAUCACUUCAUUCUCAGUAUUAACUCUACUGUGUAUUAACACCACUGAAGGGUAGAUUACAACUAUCUAGAGGGGAAAUAGAACAAUUCUUACUGUAAAUGUCAUGACUUAUCCAUGCUCUAAAUUUUACCCACUAUAUUUCAUUCAUUCAACAUAUAUUCAGUGGUAGAAAUCAGCAGAUCCCCAGAAUCCCCAGGCACACUAUGCCCUCUACCUUCAGGGUUCCUCUGACUACUGGGAACUCUCUGUCUCUCUGCACUUACCCUGCAGUGUUGCCAUGACGUAUUUACAUGGUGACUUCUUCUCAAAUGAUAAGGAGUUCUUUCAGGUCAGGGACAGUAUCUAACUCGUUAUGAAGUAAUAGGACAAAAAAUAUUAUUUAAGGACAAAGUUGAUUGUGCCAUAUUCUACCCAUUAGGAAAAAUUCCAUUAUUCUAUUAAGCAAAGAUGACAUUUGAUGUGCUCUUUUACCCUCCCAGAGACUUUAAUAAGGGAGAGAUAAGAAAAGACUGAGAUUGCAAGUCCUCUUCCAAUUCUUUUGUUCUGCAACAUGGUGGGAACUGGAGUUCCCACAUGCCAUUGUUUAGCAGAAUGCUUUAAGUAUGUAUUUCCACAUAUUCAGAGGUGUACUCAGAGGAGUAGAAAAUCUUAGUUGCUUUGUAUAACACAGUGAGGAAGAUUGCGUUUCCUUGGGGUGCUAAAGGAUGGAGUUUGCACCAAAUUGAAAACUUGAGAGUUUGGUGAACGGCUCUCAAAUUAUCUGUGGUGAAGAACCAGGUUUUUGUUGUUUGUUUGGGGGGAGGUUGUUGUUUAAUUUCUAAUCAUCACUGAUCAAAUGCUUGUAAAUGCUUAUUCUCAAUUUCUAACUUUGUGAAGUACUAACUUUGUGAUGUACUGAUAAUACCACACUCUGAGUAAGACCGGUCUAGAGAGUGGGGAGGUUGAAGGACUCACAAGAACAAGGAUACCUAAUAUUCAAAUGUAAGUUGUUAUUGCUAAUCUAUAUGAACCCUUACCUAGGUUACUACAUUUUUAAAUUUUGUUUGACAUGCAAAUGCUUCGUGAGAUUGGACUUUGUUGUGGUUGUUGCUGGGGAUUAGGGAGUUUAAAAAACAAGAAAGGGAGUUAGUUUUAUGUCUUGGUCAACAUAGAACAGAGACAAGAGAAGGGAGUAGAUGACAAUACACAAAAACUCAGUAAAAUCAAGGGACUGAAGCCAGAGUGACCCUGAGAAUGUAAUCUCUGUAGAUUGCUAACUCUCCAAAAAUUCCACCAAAAGACACAGAUUAAGCAAAUCUAGUGUAUUACCCUUGUAAUAAGGGAGAUCACUAA
ensembl:lncRNA